rnacentral:rRNA from 1 species
CCUGGCGGCACUAGCGAGGUGGUCCCACCUGACCCCAUGCCGAACUCAGAAGUGAAACGCCGUAGCGCCGAUGGUAGUGUGGGGUCUCCCCAUGUGAGAGUAGGGAACUGCCAGGC